CGUCCAGUUCGCGGAAUUCGCGCGGUCUCCCAGUGGCCGCUGCGCGAGCGCCGGAAACAACGCCUGUUCCUUGAGGCAGCGGUCACGCCAGAAGGCCUGCCAGGCACCACAGCAGCAGCCACACUCCGCUGUCGCUGACUUCGGAGCCGACACUCAGCAGCCGCACCCGCCUCGCUAGGCGUCGGAGUCGUCGCCGUGAAGCGCAUUUGCAUUGCAGGAGCUAUAGGCCUGAGUAUGCACAAUGUACCUGUGUGUAUCCUAAACCCGGGUUCGCCGUCUCUAGAUUGCAAGGCACUUGCGGAUUGCGCCUGCGCGGGACUUCACAGCCUUGGGCGGGACCCACUGCUCCGAGGAUUUGUGCUCACUGCGCUUGCGCGGGUGGUGGGCGGUGGCACAGGCGCCGGGUGGGGUCCGGACGCCCCUCCGCGGUGAAUGCUCAUAACUCAACGGAGAAACGAGGGCGAGAAAUGGACGAGAAAAUGAAAUAAUAAAAGCAUCAGUUAUGAGGCAGUGCCUAAGUGAACUAUGGCAACAUCGACUGACUGUCCCCAAAGUGAAUUGCAGGAGCAGGAAGAGGAGCCCAUGGGGUUUGGCGAAGCCCAGCUCUUGCAGGAGAGUAUGCAACCACAGCCAGAGGAGUUUGUGGCAAUCGCAGACUAUGCUGCCACUGAUGAGACCCAGCUCAGUUUUUUCAGGGGAGAAAAAAUUCUUAUCCUGAGACAAACCACAGCUGACUGGUGGUGGGGUGAGCGGGCAGGCUGCUGUGGGUACAUUCCAGCGAACCACAUGGGGAGGCAGGUGGAAGAGUACGACCCUGAGGAUACGUGGCAGGAUGAGGAGUACUUUGGCAGCUACGGGACUCUGAAACUUCAUUUGGAAAUGUUGGCAGACCAGCCCCGAACAAUGAAGUAUCAUAGUGUCAUCCUGCAGAACAAGGAAUCCCUGAAGGACAAGGUCAUCCUGGACGUUGGCUGUGGUACUGGAAUCAUCAGCCUAUUCUGUGCACAUCAUGCACGGCCCAAGGUGGUAUAUGCUGUGGAGGCCAGCGAGAUGGCACAGCACACGGGCCAACUGGUCCUGCAGAAUGGCUUUGCCGACACCAUCACCGUGUUCCAGCAGAAGGUGGAGGAUGUGGUACUGCCUGAGAAAGUAGACGUACUGGUGUCCGAAUGGAUGGGGACCUGCCUGCUGGUUUCCCUGUGAUGCUUGAAAUCUAUAGUUAGUGAUUGUGAAACCUGGUAUUGUCCUUGGCAACCACUUACCCUGGUCUUGCUGGGUGUCGGCUGGACUCUUGUGGUUAUUUUCUAACACAGCCUGCCUUUGUCUGUCACACUGCCAACUUGGAAGAAAGUGGUGGCAGAAUUGCAGCUUAUGUGACACAAGGAGUUCCAGCAAGGCAUGAAGAAAGCAAGAGAUGAGUGUCCCACGGGAGUAUGGAGAGAGACGAGAAAAGCAAUGAAUGAUCCAGAGAACUGCAGAAGACAAAAAGAGACUCAUACAGUAUCAUGAGAGAAUAAGUUAUUUUUGCCUUGCAGAGUUGUCUGGGCAAUCAUCUAACAUCUGACAAUCUCCAGAAUUGUAGAGGUUUGGGGGAGACGUGCACCAUUAUGCACACUUUUGGGGAGUGAGAGUUGAUACAGCUUCUUGAGGUAAAAUAGGGCAGAACAUGUCAAAAAGCAUUAAAAAUAUUUAGUAUAUAUGCUGCCAAAGCAAGCACAAAAAAGGCGUUAACAUUUUUUAAAUGAGAGUAUUCUAAGGAAACAGAUUUUUAUAGAACUUUAUGUUCAAAAACUUCAUGGCAGCACCAUUUUAUUCAAAUAAAAGGUGUAGUAGUAAUAAUUGUGACCAUCCAUAUGAUCAGUAAAGUUAUGUUUUAGAAAAAUUUUUACUAAUUGAGCUAAGAUUUGAGGACAUAUUGAUGUUUUUUUUUUUUUUUGUUUUUGGUACCAAGGAUUGAACUCAUGACCUUGGCUUGCUAGACAGGUACUUAUGCCGCUGAGCUAAAUCCUCAGCUUUAUUGGUGAUUUUAAAGUGCAAGGAGUAUGUGCAGCAUGAUUUCAGUUUUGUUUUAUUACAUUACAUGCAACAGUGACCUGGCUUCACUUGUAGGUAGGAUGGAGAGGAGCAUCUUCUCCUCAUUCAGCUGUGAGUUAUGGCAGGCUCAAGGUCAAGGGUUUUGUAGUAGCAACAGCCUAGGGGAAGAGACAAGAAUUGGAAGUGUUUCUGAACUGAUCCUGAGUUGGUCACUCCCCUUUCUUGGGUCUGUAUCUAUGCUAAUUAAACAACUUGCAUAAAGUACACUGAUUCCUUUGAAAACUGCAGACUUUACCAUACCUUACCCAGAUGAAAUAGAUAACCUGGAUGCUCCAGUAACUAAUGAACUCAUCCUUAAAAAUCACUAGUGGCAAACCUAUGGCAUAUGUGCCAUAGCUAGCUGUUUGUAUCAUUGUAAACUCUAAAAUCAUCACUAUCUUAGGCUGAUGUUACUGGUGAAUUUUACCAAUAUAUUUAAAGAAGAAAGAACACCAAUUCUGAACCAUUUUAGACAAUAGGAGAAGAAGGAAUGUGUGUCAGUUUGUUUCAUGAGUUGAAUAUUGCUGCAAUACCAAAACCAGAGUUAUUGUAAAAAUACGAAAACUAUAGACCAAUAAUUCAUGAAUAUAAAUGUAAAAAUCCUCAAGAAAAUAUUAGCAAAUUUAAUAGUAAUAUGAUAAAGGGAUAAGACUACAGGAAAUUAUCCUUGGAAUGCAUACCUGGUUCAGAAUUUGAAAACCAAUCAGUGUAAACUACCAUAUUUACAGACCAAAGAAGAAAAUCACAUAAUUAUAUUAGUUAAUACCGAAAAAAACCCCGACAUAUUUAAACAUCAGUUUAAUCCAGCAAACUGUGAAUCGCAGGGAACUGUCUCUCUUCAUAAAGAGCAUGUACAAAACUCUGUAACUGACUUCAUACACAGGAGGGAAAUAAUUGGUACUUCUUCCCAAAAGAGUAAGAACAAGACACUGGUGAUCAUUCCUACUUAAUACAGCACAUGAACUUCUAAUUUACACAAAAAAGAAGAAAUAAACAGGUUGCAAAAGAACCAUCUUUAUUCCCAAAUAAUAUAGUUAUCUUUAUAGGAAGUUCUAAAGAAUCUACAAAAAUAUUUCCUACAACUAAUAAGUAAGAUUAGCAAGGUUACAGAGUAAAAGCAUUGUUUUUAUAUCCUGAAAACUGGAAACAAAUUAAAGAAGCAGUACUACUUAUAGUAGCUCCACAAAUAUUAAAUACCAUGCUAAGAACUGGAUAAAACAUGUGCAAGAACUGUAUGUGAGAAGCACAAGGUGUUGAUGGGGGAAGUCAAGAGACCUAAGGAAUUGGAGAGACACAGUAUGCUGGACCUGGAAGGCUGAACCUGGCAAGCGUCCAUUUUCAGGGUGAUUGACUUAGUCCAAUUUCAGUCAAGAGUCAAGUAGGUAUUUUCAGUAGAUAUGUGGUAAGUUUGUGUGGAAUGUAAAGGAACUAGAAUAGCAGCACAAUAAAAGAGAAACUCAAGGCUAGGUGUGAUAGUGCAUGCCUAUAAUUCCAGCACUCGGAGGGCUGAGGCAGGAUCGCCCUGAGUUUGACCUCAGUCUCUGUUACAUAAUGUGUUCAAGACCAGAAAUAAAUAAAUAAGUUAGAAGAAUUAUGUGCUUGAUUUUAAAGCAACUGAGGACAGUGUGGCAUUAAUGAAGGGUUAGACACAAGUCAGUGGAACAGUGUAGGGAAAUAGAUUUCUACAAAUGUAGUCAGCUGAUUCUUAACAAAGGUACAAAAUCGAUUUAGUGGAGAAAAUGUUUCCAGCAAAGGUUGUUGAAUAGUUGGCAAACAUAUCCAGAACCAAAAGGAACCAACCUAGACCUCACAUCUGAUACUAAACAUAAAAUUGAUCCUAGACCUAAGUGUGUAAAUAUAAAACUGAAACUUUUGGAAGAAAUUAUAAGAAAAAAGUCAUUAUGACCUGGAGAGAGGCGGAGUGUUAAGUAUGGGUUUGUUAUGGCUUGUAUCUGGAUGUGUCUGUUCCCAAAGCUUAUGUGCUCAUAGCUGGGGCUUUUUUGGAGGUGCCUGGAUCUAGGGUAUGUGAAUAUGGAUUAAAGGUGUGUAAUAACUAAAGGAGUCUGCUGACUUGUUUAGAUUUGUUCUGGGUGUGGCUGAUGGGAACAUCUUCCUUGAGUAUGGGUGGUGCUAACUUGUAGGUUUUCUAGCCUGAAUGAAAUAAAAGAGAAGGAGAGUCUUUGUGAUGCUGCUGCUUUUGUUGCUUCCUGCUUCCCAGCUGCCCUGCUAAAGACUAUUACUUACGUGCUGUGCUGCUUUGCCCUGCUGCCCUGCCAAACCAUCAGGUCUGGGAGCCAGCCAGUUUUGGACUGAAACCUCUAGAAAAUAUAAGCUAAAAUAAAUCUUUCCUUCUUUAA